GCUUUUCAUUUGUAUUGAACUCACAAACUAAGAAACAAAGCAACAUAUCUUAAUGAGGAAUGUUAAUAGUCAAUCUCAUUUAUUAAAAUUUUAAAAUAUAUAAAAAGAAUAACAAAAUGAGGAAAUGUUUGUCCAAGAAAAAUACACUUAAUAAGCAUAUGCUACAUCUAUUUAUAGCCUCACUUCAUUCCAUCAGUAAUAACAUCAUUUCCGAUAUUCUUAUUAUAUAUAAUCAAGAAAAAAAAGUGUCUUAUAAUGUGUUAAAUCUGGCAAUACAAAAUUUAAAAUAUUUUCAAAAUUAAGAAGCAACCCAACCUAUACAAUACCUAUCAAUUCAGUCAAAAUUACUUGAUUCUCCCAAAUAUGUAAAUAGAUACCCAUAUGUGACACAAUAAAGGAAAUGUCCCAUAUUUUGUCUGCAAACAAAAGGCUUCCAGUUUCUUAACAAAUAUAACAUUAAAAACUCCAUUCAUAAGCACAAACAGAAUUCAUACAAUGCAAAUGAAUUAUUAAAAAGACAAAUCAACAUAUGAUUUACCAUAUGUCUCCUUUUACAUUUGAGGUAAAUGGAUUUUUUCAAAAAUAUUCAUUUAUUUUUCAAUGUUAUAAAUCAAAGCUUAUAGAGAAUGAACAUAUUUUUAAAUUAAGAAUCUAUAUGGUUUUAUUACAUAAAGAAUCCACAAAAAAUAUAUUAUGUGCAUGCCAUUUAAUAUAUUCACAUUUUAUCAUGUAUAUAAUGCCACAAAAUGAGAUCCUCAAAAAUUACAAAAUGUUAUAGGCCAUUUAGCAUUCUUGCUUUCUUAUGUGCCAUAAUGAAAGAAAUAAACAA
rnacentral:lncRNA from 1 species